CGUAUAGGGGAGCCGAAGGGAAACCGAGUCUUAACUGGGCGUUAAGUUGCAGGGUAUAGACCCGAAACCCGGUGAUCUAGCCAUGGGCAGGUUGAAGGUUGGGUAACACUAACUGGAGGACCGAACCGACUAAUGUUGAAAAAUUAGCGGAUGACCUGUGGCUGGGGGUGAAAGGCCAAUCAAACCGGGAGAUAGCUGGUUCUCCCCGAAAGCUAUUUAGGUAGCGCCUCGUGAAUUCAUCUCCGGGGGUAGAGCACUGUUUCGGCUAGGGGGCCAUCCCGGCUUACCAACCCGAUGCAAACUGCGAAUACCGGAGAAUGUUAUCACGGGAGACACACGGCGGGUGCUAACGUCCGUCGUGAAGAGGGAAACAACCCAGACCGCCAGCUAAGGUCCCAAAGUCAUGGUUAAGUGGGAAACGAUGUGGGAAGGCCCAGACAGCCAGGAUGUUGGCUUAGAAGCAGCCAUCAUUUAAAGAAAGCGUAAUAGCUCACUGGUCGAGUCGGCCUGCGCGGAAGAUGUAACGGGGCUAAACCAUGCACCGAAGCUGCGGCAGCGACACUAUGUGUUGUUGGGUAGGGGAGCG
rnacentral:rRNA from 1 species